rnacentral:rRNA from 1 species
CCAGACUCCUACGGGAGGCAGCAGUGAGGAAUAUUGGUCAAUGGGCUUACGCCUGAACCAGCCAAGUCGCGUGAGGGAAGACUGCCCUAUGGGUUGUAAACCUCUUUUGUCAGGGAGCAAUUGGCGCUACGUGUAGCGUUAUCGAGAGUACCUGAAGAAAAAGCAUCGGCUAACUCCGUGCCAGCAGCCGCGGUAAUACGGAGGAUGCGAGCGUUAUCCGGAUUUAUUGGGUUUAAAGGGUGCGUAGGCGGGCGGUUAAGUCAGGGGUCAAAGGUCGGGGCUCAACCCCGGCCUGCCGUUGAAACUGGCGGGCUGGAGUUGGAGAGAAGUACGCGGAAUGCGCGGUGUAGCGGUGAAAUGCUUAGAUAUCGCGCAGAACCCCGAUUGCGAAGGCAGCGUACCGGCGCCACACUGACGCUGAGGCACGAAAGCGUGGGUAUCGAACAGGAUUAGAUACCCUAGUACU